AUUGAACGCUGGCGGCAGGCUUAACACAUGCAAGUCGAGCGGAGAUGAGGUGCUUGCACCUUAUCUUAGCGGCGGACGGGUGAGUAAUGCUUAGGAAUCUGCCUAUUAGUGGGGGACAACAUUCCGAAAGGAAUGCUAAUACCGCAUACGCCCUACGGGGGAAAGCAGGGGAUCUUCGGACCUUGCGCUAAUAGAUGAGCCUAAGUCGGAUUAGGUAGUUGGUGGGGUUAAGGUCUACCAAGGCGACGAUCUGUAGCGGGUCUGAGAGGAUGAUCCGCCACACUGGGACUGAGACACGGCCCAGACUCCUACGGGAGGCAGCAGUGGGGAAUAUUGGACAAUGGGCGGAAGCCUGAUCCAGCCAUGCCGCGUGUGUGAAGAAGGCCUUUUGGUUGUAAGGCACUUUAAGCGAGGAGGAGGCUACCUGGAUUAAUACUCUAGGAUAGUGGACGUUACUCGCAGAAUAAGCACCGGCUAACUCUGUGCCAGCCGCCGCUGUAACAC
rnacentral:rRNA from 1 species